rnacentral:rRNA from 1 species
UACGGAGGGUGCAAGCGUUAUCCGGAUUUACUGGGUUUAAAGGGUGUGUAGGCGGGCUUUUAAGUCAGUGGUGAAAUCUCCGGGCUCAACCCGGAAACUGCCACUGAUACUAUUAGUCUUGAAUUUUGUUGAGGUAGGCGGAAUAAGUCAUGUAGCGGUGAAAUGCAUAGAUAUGACUUAGAACACCGAUUGCGAAGGCAGCUUGCUAAACAAAUAUUGACGCUGAGGCACGAAAGCGUGGGGAUCAAACAGG